rnacentral:rRNA from 2 species
CAUGGCGAACUGCUCAGUAACACGUGGACAACCUGCCCUUAGGUUGGGUAUAAACCCGGGAAACUGGGUAUAAUACCCGAUAGGUCUCGAUUGCUGGAAUGCAUCGAGAUUUAAAGCUCCGGCGCCUAAGGAUGGGUCUGCGGCCUAUCAGGUAGUAGUGGGUGUAGCGUACCUACUAGCCUACGGCGGGUACGGGUUGUGAGAGCAAGAGCCCGGAGAUGGAUUCUGAGACACGAAUCCAGGCCCUACGGGGUGCAGCAGGCGCGAAAACUUUACAAUGCUGGCAACAGCGAUAAGGGAACCUCGAGUGCCAGGUUACAAAUCUGGCUGUCGAGAUGCCUAAAAAGCAUUUCAUAGCAAGGGCCGGGCAAGACCGGUGCCAGCCGCCGCGGUAACACCGGCGGCUCGAGUGGUAACCGUUAUUAUUGGGUCUAAAGGGUCUGUAGCCGGCCGGAUAAGUCUCUUGAGAAAUCUGGCAGCUUAACUGUCAGGCUUUCAGGAGAUACUGUCUGGCUCGAGGCCGGGAGAGGUGAGAGGUACUUCAGGGGUAGGGGUGAAAUCUUGUAAUCCUUGAAGGACCACCAGUGGCGAAGGCGUCUCACCAGAACGGACCUGACGGCAAGGGACGAAAGCUAGGGGCACGAACCGGAUUAGAUACCCGGGUAGUCCUAGCCGUAAACGAUACUCGCUAGGUGUCGGCCACGGUGCGACCGUUGUCGGUGCCGUAGGGAAGCCGUGAAGCGAGCCACCUGGGAAGUACGGCCGCAAGGCUGAAACUUAAAGGAAUUGGCGGGGGAGCACCACAACGGGUGGAGCUUGCGGUUUAAUUGGAUUCAACGCCGGAAAUCUUACCGGGACCGACAGCAAUAUGAAGGCCAGGCUGAAGACUUUGCCGGAUUAGCUGAGAGGUGGUGCA